rnacentral:lncRNA from 10 species
AAUGGGGGUGGGGGUUGCCAUGGUGAUGCCCAGUCAACAGAAUGGAGAAAAGAGAAAUUUGGUUUGAAAUGAAAUUUGAGUCUUGAGAGAGGGCUGAUAUGAAGGAGAAUCAAACAAGCCACAUGGGAGCAUCUGAAGGCCUGGAGAUAAGGGCCUGUUGCAUGGCUGUGAAAAUUUGGCCUUUAAAAUAACUAGGCAUGGGCCAGAAAUCACAGCCGGCGGCUGCGACCACCCAAGGCAGGAGAUCCAGCGGGGGACUAUGGAGCUCAGUGGAGCUGCGGCCUGGGAGAAGCCCACCCAAGAGAACCAUGUAACUAGAAACCAUCACAUUCGGCUUCGUGUGAGGGAGAAGCAGCUCCCCAUUUCCGGCAUCUCGGCUUGGCAGGACCCCUCCAGGACCUCACUCCUCUGAGACGCACUGCAGACCUCACAGGUGACAGCAGCGUUUUGCUGACUCAGAGGCAACUACCACGAUGACCCUCCAGCCCGUGUCCAGACCUGGGGCAGCGACUUGGACAGGGGGCUGCAGAAGUGGGUCUGUGAGGGGGACCUGACGGGGGGCUGCAGAAGUGGGUCUGUGAGGCGGACCUGGGGGGGCAGCCCUGGGGUGGGCUCACUGGGGUUCACUCCACCUCGAAGACUUCAAUUCCAGCUCUGGCUGGUUUUGUUGGAUUAGGAACACACAGCCAGCCAAAUCUUGGUUACUAGGGUGCCAGAGAUCACGUGGAGAAAUGAAAUAAAGAGAGAACCCCCAAACGGUGGUGCUGCCAUGCAUUGGAGCCUCUCGCCCCAACAGCAUUCUUACUUUAUUUAUUUAUUUCUCAUCCACAUUUUGCUGGAAGAUUUUGCGCAUUCAUAAUGGCAAACAGAAUAUGGCGAUAAGCUUCUGUGUACACUAUCAUCAACAGCUUUCAAUUCCUAAUUAACCUUAUUUUAUCAAUAUUCCCCAUAAUCCCCCAUGCUGUUUCUUG